rnacentral:rRNA from 1 species
GAUGAACGCUAGCUACAGGCUUAACACAUGCAAGUCGAGGGGAAACGAUAGGGAAAGCUUGCUUUUUCUAGGCGUCGACCGGCGCACGGGUGAGUAACGCGUAUCCAACCUGCCCAUCACUUGGGGAUAACCUUGCGAAAGUAAGACUAAUACCCAAUGACGUCUCUAGAAGACAUCUGAAGGAGAUUAAAGAUUUAUCGGUGAUGGAUGGGGAUGCGUCUGAUUAGCUUGUUGGCGGGGUAACGGCCCACCAAGGCGACGAUCAGUAGGGGUUCUGAGAGGAAGGUCACCCACAUUGGAACGGGGACACGGUCCAAACUCCUACGGGAGGCAGCAGUGAGGAAUAUUGGUCAAUGGACGAGAGUCUGAACCAGCCAAGUAGCGUGCAGGAAGACGGCCCUAUGGGUUGUAAACUGCUUUUAUAAGGGAAUAAAGUGAGUCUCGUGAGACUUUUUGCAUGUACCUUAUGAAUAAGGACCGGCUAAUUCCGUGCCAGCCGCCGCCGUAA